GUCGCGCGAGUAGCACAUACCGCCCCGCCCCGUGUAACGUACGACCGCGUAUACCUCCCGCCGUUUUAGCAUUAACAGUUUCGUUUAAAUUGGAAUUAAAUUAUCUGUCCAUAUGGUUCAUCUCGUAGAUAUAUUUCGUGCGCCGAAACUUGACUAUCCACCGCCUGUUAUUAUGAACCGAGCGAUACAGGUGAAACCAGCGGACAGCGAAAAUAGAGGAGGGGGUGCGGGAAGACGGCGCGCGUAGGCGGACAAAGGUAGCGUGUUUUGUGCGUGCCCUAGGCUGUUCUGUUCACUGUCUGUCAAUAGCGCGCGAAGUGAGAUAGUUCCACGUCGAAUCUACAGGAGGCUUGCUUAUUUUAUUUUGAUUCCCUAACUCGAUGUUUUGUUUUCAAGGCCAUUUCACCACUU
rnacentral:misc_RNA from 1 species